UAUAUGAACAGCUAGGAUAUUAAGCAAAAUGGAUAUUCAUAUCCUACAAUUCCUCUCUUUAGAUCAUAUCAUGAUCUACCUUACAGAAUAUCCAUGGGAGGUCUGCGGCAGAGAAACGAAAGGAGGUAUAUUCAGACCUGCUAAUCACGUCUGUGUGACUUUCAUUAUUUCUUCACCUCCAUUUCCCCCAUUUGCUCUAUGCCGUAGGUUUUCCCUUUAAGAGGAGAUCGAGCUGUCGAUUUUCAGCUUCUGUAAUCAUCUGUUGUACACAUCUUUUAAGUGUACAAGUUAAAUAUUUCAAACAGAUGACAUGUUAACCAAUUUUAAACAGACUGCACAUCAUGUUAUCUGUAACUUGAGCCUUGGAUCAAAACAGGCAAAGUGUAUUAUUCCCAACCACGGGAAUAUUAUUAUUAUAAUUCCCAACCACGGGAAUAUUAUUAUUAUAAUUCACAACGUAAACACAUAUAAUCAAAAAUGGGAAUAAAAUCUACUUCCCCUCUUUGGACCAGGAUCUUGGAUUACCAGUCCACCCAGUGAACUUGGGCCAGGUCAAAAAACCCAGUGGCAAAAACUCAAA